AAUCGAACCUGGGACCCUUUAGUCCGCAGGCUGAUGAUGCUCUAUCCACUGAGCCAAACUGGCUAGGGCAGGUGUGUUUUUAUAAGCAUUUUCAUAGUCUUAGACUAAGAUGGGUGUUGUUUUGUCACACUUUCCAAAUAACAUUGGAAAGAUGGCAUUGUGGAAAAGGUUUCUUAAAGUGAAAACUUUAAGAUUGAUGGAUUUGCCCUUUAAAGUUUUGCAACCUUGAAUAAAAUGUUUUACCAUCUGUGUAAUAAAAUGUAUGCCUUAGCUAGAUAUCACAGUACUGUACUGUUGAAAAAUAAUAAAAUAAAUGUGAAUGUGUUAUCAAAACUAACUGCUAAGGGGUAUAUAAUUAUGUAUCAGCUGGAAUCCCUAGGGUACACCCUACAAAAAUCAAGUUGUUCUAGUCUAGAGUUUAUUUAAGGUUGUUCAAAGGAUGGAAUUGCAAAGAAGGGGACAUGGAAAAGAGGUGACUUACUCUGUUUUCCAUUCCCAUUCAAGUUCUGGUAAUGGGGCUUUCCUUUCCUAUCACUAUUACCUUUAUUAAAUGUCAAUGGCCCUGUCUUUGUUUCCAGGGAUCUUAACCAAGUUCUCCACCAUUGAAAAUAGGAUUGUCUACACAGGCCAGUUUGAAUGAGACUCAGCAAAUUCUUAGGUCAUGGUUAGGCAUUACUUCUUUGGAAAAUCCAAAGGUGACAUGUGGGCAGUUACUGAAAUCUCUUGCAAUGCAGCACAAAGCAGAUUAGUUCACCGGACUGUAGCAGAGGCAAUGAUUCCUAGAAAGACAGUAAAUCAUCUACAAAUUGUCUUAUUUACUCAGCACCUACCCAUAUAUGGCUGUGGUCACUGGCAGUUGCAACGCUGACAUUUCUUAAUGCUGAGUUUGCUCUUUUCCAUGUGUUCUUUUGCAGAUCUACUCCCUCAUCUAUAGCUUCACAGAGAUCUCAAGUUUGAGAGAGAGUUUGAGCCAAGUUUGAGCCCUAUCCAACUCUUGAACCCCUUCCUAGCCAAGAUAACAUUCAGUUGUUAGGGCAUAAAGAGAAUAGUGAAGCCACAAAAUAGAAGAGGUCUAGAUUCCUGAAUCAUCAUAUGGAAGACUGCCUGCCAAAUACUACAUUGAACUGUCAAAUGAAGGAGAAAUAAAACCAGUGAAAUUU